GUCUCAGUAGCGUAGUGGUUAACGCACGGCCCGGGUUAGGCGCGGGACGUGGGUUCGAAUCCCGCCUGAGAUG
rnacentral:tRNA from 1 species